AUUGAACGCUGGCGGCAUGCUUUACACAUGCAAGUCGAACGGUAACAGGCCGCAAGGUGCUGACGAGUGGCGAACGGGUGAGUAAUGCAUCGGAACGUGCCCAGUCGUGGGGGAUAACUGCUCGAAAGAGCAGCUAAUACCGCAUACGAUCUAUGGAUGAAAGCGGGGGACCGUAAGGCCUCGCGCGAUUGGAGCGGCCGAUGUCGGAUUAGGUAGUUGGUGGGGUAAAGGCUCACCAAGCCAACGAUCUGUAGCUGGUCUGAGAGGACGACCAGCCACACUGGGGCUGAGACACGGCGCAGGCUACGACGGGAGGCAGCAGUGGGGAAUUUUGGACAAUGGGGGCAACCCUGGUCCAGCAAUGCCGCGUGCAGGAAGAAGGCCUUCGGGUUGUAAACUGCUUUUGUACGGAACGAAACGGUCUGGGUUAAUACCCUGGGCUAAUGACGGUACCGUAAGAAUAAGCACCGGCUAACUACGUGCCAGCCGCCGCCGUAACAC
rnacentral:rRNA from 1 species